AUUGGACGCUGGCGGCAUGCUUUACACAUGCAAGUCGAACGGUAGACCCUUUCGGGGGUUGAGAGUGGCGAACGGGUGAGUAAUGCAUCGGAAUAUACCCAGUCGUGGGGGAUAACGUAGCGAAAGUUACGCUAAUACCGCAUACGUCCUGAGGGAGAAAGCGGGGGACCGGUAACGGCCUCGCGCGAUUGGAUUGGCCGAUGUCAGAUUAGCUAGUUGGUGGGGUAAAGGCCUACCAAGGCGACGAUCUGUAGCGGGUCUGAGAGGAUGAUCCGCCACACUGGGACUGAGACACGGCCCAGACUCCUACGGGAGGCAGCAGUGGGGAAUUUUGGACAAUGGGCGCAAGCCUGAUCCAGCCAUGCCGCGUGCAGGAAGAAGGCCUUCGGGUUGUAAACUGCUUUCGGACGGAAAGAAAUCGCCUUCAUUAAUACUGGGGGUGGAUGACGGUACCGUAAGAAGAAGCACCGGCUAACUACGUGCCAGCAGCCGCCGUAACAC
rnacentral:rRNA from 1 species